GACGAAUGCUGGCUGCGUGCUUAACACAUGCAAGUCGAACGGUGAACCAGGGCUUGCCCUGGGGAUCAGUGGCGAACGGGUGAGUAACACGUGGGCAACCUGCCCCUCACUCUGGGAUAACUCCGGGAAACCGGGGCUAAUACCGGAUAUGACCUGGUGCGACAUCACACCAGGUGGAAAGAACUUCGGUGAGGGAUGGGCCCGCGGCCUAUCAGCUAGUUGGUGGGGUAACGGCCCACCAAGGCGACGACGGGUAGCCGGCCUGAGAGGGCGACCGGCCACACUGGGACUGAGACACGGCCCAGACUCCUACGGGAGGCAGCAGUGGGGAAUAUUGCGCAAUGGGCGAAAGCCUGACGCAGCGACGCAGCGUGAGGGACGACGGCCUUCGGGUUGUAAACCUCUUUCAGCGGGGACGAAGCGAAAGUGACGGUACCCAAAGAAUAAGCACCGGCUAACUUCGUGCCAGCCGCCGCCGUAACAC
rnacentral:rRNA from 1 species